GGAGACCAUCAUUGUUGAGAACAUGCACCAACGAAGAUGGUGGCCUGUUACCCAGGUCACAGGGUUCGUCUUCGCACUUGCCAGAGUCGCAGUGUGAUCUGCUACCACAUUAGCCAUUCUUGGACACCAAGCCCAGCUAGUAUCAACAAAAUUUGGAUGACCAAGCUGCUCCUUUAUCUUACAGAGGAAAGGAUACCGCUCCC
rnacentral:lncRNA from 1 species